GACGAACGCAGGCGGCAUGCCUAAUACAUGCAAGUCGAGCGAACAGAUGAAGUGCUUGCACUUCUGACGUUAGCGGCGAACGGGUGAGUAACACGUAAGGAAUCUACCUAUAAGCGGGGGAUAACAUUCGGAAACGGGUGCUAAUACCGCAUAAUAUCUUCUUCCGCAUGGAAGAAGAUUGAAAGACGGCUCUGCUGUCACUUAUAGAUGACCUUGCGGUGCAUUAGUUAGUUGGUGGGGUAACGGCCUACCAAGAAGAUGAUGCAUAGCCGACCGGAGAGGGUGAUCGGCCACAUUGGGACUGAGACACGGCCCAAACUCCUACGGGAGGCAGCAGUAGGGAAUCUUCCGCAAUGGGCGAAAGCCUGACGGAGCAAUGCCGCGUGAGUGAAGAAGGCCUUCGGGUCGUAAAACUCUGUUAUAAGAGAAGAACAAAUUGUAGAGUAACUGCUACAGUCUUGACGGUAUCUUAUCAGAAAGCCACGGCUAACUACGUGCCAGCAGCCGCAGUAA
rnacentral:rRNA from 1 species